CAGGUAGAUAGGUCAGAGGUGUAAGUGUGGCGACACAUGGAGCUGACUGAUACUAAUCGAUCGAGGACUUAACCAAA
rnacentral:rRNA from 1 species